CGCAGAUGCGAACAUCUUAAUAUUUCCACUCCACCUCAAUAACCUGCCUGGAAAUAAAGAAACUGAAGGGUAACCAGACUAGAUCUCAUUAGUAAUCAAAAGGAAGGAGAUCAUCAACUCAGCUCAUCUCUUCUCUUUAUCUGAAUCCAGCUUCUGAAGAUGAUGUGUCUUAAGAAAAAUCUGUAAAGUACCGUAUAAGAGAAGUCCAACAAAAUUAACCAAUUGGAUGAGAAAUAUUUAUCCAACACAAACCCUGUGUCAAUAACUGUUCUAGAUGACUAAGAGAUAUUGCUAAACAAAACAGACAAAACCCCUGUCUACAUGAAGCUUAUCUUCUCACUACAGAUGUAUGUGUAUCAGUCUCUCUCUAUUGAUCUUUUUGUCUCUAUAGCUAUCUUUAUCUAUAUGAAUAAUAAUAUACAUUACUUUUGUUGGGCUGCCAUUAUCAUGCAUUAUAGACUGACUGGCUUAAACAGCAGAAAUGUAUUUUCUCACAUUUCCGAAGGCUAGAAGUCUGAGAUCAAGAUGUCAGCGGGGUUUGUUUCUUUUGAGGCCACUCUCUUUUGACUUGCAGACGGGAUAGCUGGCUUCUUGCUGCCUCCCGAUGUGGCCUUUUGUCUGUGCAUACAUGUCCCUGGUGCUCCGUCUGUCCUAAUCUCCUCUUAUAAGGAUACUAGUCAGAUUGCAUUGGGAUCCAUCCCAAUAGCCUUCUUUUAACUUAAUUUCCUCCCUCACAAAAUCCAUUUUUGGUGAGGAUGUAACCAAGAUGUUUUUAUUUCCAGGAUUAGUAAUGAUGAAGCAAAAUCAUUUUCAUGAACUAUGGUGUCUGUUUCCAAUGGCGGCAUAUUAGGAUCAUUGCCAAAAUCAUGGUAUGAUGUGGCUGUGUGUUAUUAUCUGCUGCAGGUCCACACACGUUGGCUCCUUGGCUCACCAAGAUAUGCUGCAAAGAUGAGGACAUCUGGAUGCAGACACACAGAAAUGGAAGAGCAUAGGAAGACAGAGGUAGAAGAUGGCCAUCUACAAGUCAAGGAGAGAGACUUCAGAAUAAAUCAAGUCUGCUGACGCCUUGAUCUCAGAUGUUUUUCCUCUAGAACUUUGGUGUACUACCCACCCUAUGGCAGCCCUAGCAAACUAAUACAUAGCUGUUGGUAUAAAGAGAGCCAAUCUUAUAUCUGAGGAGAAGUAGGUUUUAAAUAAAAUGUGGGUCUCAAAAUUCA
rnacentral:lncRNA from 13 species